CUGGGCCGCGCCCGCCCCGCCCGUGACGCGCGGCCCCGCCCGCCCGGGGCUCGGCGCCGGGCACGGCGGAGCGCUGCGGCCGUGGCGGCGGUGCCGGGCUCCUGUGGUCCUGUGGCGCGGCACAGCGCGGCACCGCGGGCGGCAGGCUGGGAAUGGAGUGCAUAAUUUGGAUACCAGCAGUGGGACAUCUUACCAGAACAAAGCAUCCAUGGAACCAUUUUUAAUCAAUGACUUCUAAGUGCAGGAUUGGUGCUGUUGGAUUGCAAACAAGUGCUACAAGAUGCCAGGUGAGGUGACUGAAAGCAGCAGCAGGAUGGAGGAGACUGUGCAAAAAGACAGCAAAUCUGGAGGCCAGAGCCCUCGCUGUGGCACCAUGAGAAGGGCUGUGGCAACCACUGUCACCUUUGAUGGGGAAGCCACUAUGGACCGCAGGAAAAGGAAGAAGAAAGAGUCCCGCCCCGAGUCAAUAAUAGUGUAUCGGUCCGAGAAUGACAAUAAGGUGGAAGAAGAACAAGCAGAUGAAGAAGGAGGGGAGAGGAGCUCUGAGGAAGGCUCCAAGUUCCUGGGUCAGUCUAUGACAGAUGGUGUCUGGAACAUGCCUUUAGACAGCCGAUAUGUCACCUUGACUGGAACAAUCACCAGGGGAAAGAAGAAGGGUCAGCUGGUGGACAUUCAUGUCACCCUAACGGAUAAAGAGCUGCAGGAACUGGCUAAGUCAAAGGAACCUCCUAAAGAAGAUGUAACUGAGCAGAAGAAGAAAUGUGAUGUUGGGUUAGACAGAGGACCUCACAUUGUCCUCUGGACCAUCAUCUGCCUCCCCAUCAUUUUUGUAGUGUCCUUCGUGGUUUCAUUCUACUAUGGAACCAUUACAUGGUACAACAUCUUCUUGGUGUACAAUGAAGAGAGGACCUUCUGGCACAAAAUCACCUUUUGUCCCUUUUUGAUUAUCUCCUACCCAAUUAUAAUUAUGGUUGUUUCUUUCUCCCUAGGCCUGUAUUCAGCUGUAGCCCAGGUAGCAUGGUCCUUUGGGUACUGGUGGCACGCUGUCAGGGAUAUGGAGAAAGGAUUCUGUGGCUGGCUCUGCAGCAAGCUGGGCUUGGAAGAUUGUUCUCCGUACAGCAUUGUCGAGCUGCUUGAUUCUGACAAUAUCUCAGGCAGCCACUUAAUGAUGAGAGAGGGCUUGUCGUUGUGUGUUAGGUCCAGGUAAAUUACCAGGGGGUUCAAAAAGUCCCUAAGCAUCCUUCCACAUAACAGGUGAAGUGUGAUUGCAUGCAAACAAGCAGUCCAGAGAAACGAGGCUUGAGGGUCUGUCAUGUAUCCCCCCUGGUCACCCAGUUCCAUUAACUUCCAGUUCUCCUAAUUUCAUGUCAUUACACGGUAGCUGAAGUCUGUCAGAAUGCAUUAAAAUACAGAGAAUGCCUGAGUCAGGCCAACAAUGCAUUUUUCCCUGUGUCAAAAAAAUGUCCUUGCUUUUAGUGUGCUAAAACAGAAAACCUUACUCCCAGAGUACAGCAGCUAAAAUCCAUUGUGGUUUGUAUGCAUUAAAAUUAGAUAUGCCAUGGAUGAUUUUGACCUGGAGCCCUUUAAGAUACAAUCUUUGAUAUGAUCUCCUUGUUUUAGGGCUCCUUUUCCCAGCCAUUUCUUCCAGGUGCAAACUUAGCUUUACAAGAUAAAAAAGGAUAACUACUGAUUUCAAUAGUAUGUUCUGCCUGCAAAUAGGAUAAACCCCCCACCUGCCAGGCAACAUGUUCCCCCAGAGCAUGGUUUUUUACAAGUUCCUCCAGCAGUAAUGUAUAUUAAGGUAAAUAUAUUUGAAUGUGCCUUAGACUGUCUUUAUAUAUAUGCCAAAUUAUUUCUGCUCCUACAGUGAUAAGGUAAGAGAAUAAGAGAAUCAAUUAUUUCUACUACAAGAUGCCAGCAAACUGGCUCAUUAGGAGGUAACGCAAAUAUAAUUUAAUUUAGUCUAGCCUGAUUAUCUGAAUAACCUGUAGUUGUGAUCUGAACACCCCAAACAUCAUAAAUACACUGAAUGGCUGUUAUAGUGUCAGUGCUGGGCAUGAAUCCAACAGCUCCUGGGUUAGUCAGCCUAAGGAGAGCAUGCAUUUUAUUCAGUCUUUCUUUCUAAAAUACAUUCUUGUCCUGAAGUAUGAAAAUGUCAGUUUCUAAUGAUGUACUUAAAUGUAUCUGUAGUGAGAUGCACUUAUAAUUACAGGCAAUUACUAGAAUAUCCUUCCAUGAUAAUGGAGAUUUUCCUUAACACUUUAUCUAUGGAUAAAUGGCAUGCAGAAUUAACAAACAGAAGCAAUUUUAACCUUCAAUAAUUUAUUCAAAUGAGCUCCUCUGUGACCUAAGAAAGGAGCAGAAAUAAUUCGUAGUACCUGCAUGUAGUAAAGAAAAAAGGGAAAUAUUUAAUAUAGUGAGCAGUAUCAUCCCAGGCACACAUAGUGUCAUUGCUAAAUAGUACCUCAGUUCUCCCCAAAUAUGUGUUGCUGGAGCUCCCUUCAGUGACUCACAGUAAUUAUAGCCCUGGCUUGUCUCUAAUGUGAUUAAACACCGCUGGAGCAAUGGACUCUAAUAUCGAAACAGGCUCCAAGGCAAAAGUUUCAUGUCAUGGUUGUGACUUUAGCCAGCCCCAUGAUUACAGCAGGAUUGCUCUGAGGCUCCAGUUCCACCCUAAAACCAGGUCUGUUUUGAUGGCUAAAUUUGCCAUUUAUUUCAAUAGAAAGAUAUAAAAAAUUAAAUGUCUGUCUUGAAUGUCUAGUACAAAAGAACCGGCAGAAAUCAUUGUCAUCUUGAUGACUUCCUUCCAAGGAAUUUCUGCAAAACAAUGAAAUAACUGACAGGGAAAACUUGAAAUUAUUCUUCCCCUGGCUCUACAUCUGACACUGUCACAUAUCUGCUAGUGUAAUGAGUUAGCAUCAAUUCACACAAAUAGAAACCAAACCUAAUCCUUUCUUUCCUCUCAAAUAUAAACUCUCUCCUUCACAUUGCGGCUUUGUCUCCCUAAGCUGUACAGACUGGAAAUUCACAAGAAUUAAAACAUGACAUCCUCUUCUCAAUGCUGCAAUGCUCCAUUUCAUAAGUGCAAUUAAAGCAAAUAUUUUUCAAAAGAUCAGAAAUUUCAUCCUUUCACUCUGAUUUAAUCUGCUUCCAGGUGCAGGCAAACAGAUAGAAAAUUAAAAUGGGAUCCUCUCAGCUCAGAAAGAGCCCAGUUUGGCAGCUGAAGACUCCUCAUCCCUUCCCACAGUUGAAUGGAUAAGGAACAAAAUCCUGUGCUGUAUGCAGUCUGGAACAAUCUUCAUCCUCAGGACUUUAUGCUGAUCUUUCUCUGGUUAGCCAGGCUUAUACAGUGGGCCAUGGGAGAAUGUUUAAUGAGAAACAAAUACAGCAUUUCGAUUUGUCCGUAUAUUUGAGAGUGUGGUCAAACUCCAUUUUUACAGAUUGUGCAAAGAAAUCUCUCAAUAAUACAUGCUACUGUAAUGUAUGCAUUCUUCUCAAAAAUACUUUUGGGGUUUUUUUUUCCCAAUAAUAUGUGACAUAAAUGCUGAUAAACUAAUAUGUGGAAACAAAGGCACAAUAUUUAAAAAGAUACAGAAGUCUAAAAAGGCUCAGUGCCCCUCUGAGCUGGCCCUUGCAGAUGAUUUUUUAAAAUAUUUAACAUAAUGAGGCAUUUUCUGUUUUGAAAGUGAAGCUCCAUUCACAAAUGCCCGUGAGCAUUCAACAUUUAUGCAGAUCUGACAUAUGUCAAACUGAGCACUAAGAAAAUGUGAUUCACACAACCAGUGCUUACUGGUAAGAGACUUGGUUCAAGUGUUACAAAUAUCAGAUUACAGGCAAUCUGCUGAACAAAACCAGAGUUUAAUUUUUAAAGUGCCAUUUAGUUACCAUAAUCAUAAGAAUUUCCUCUUUCACUCUCUGUCUCCCAAUUUUUGUAGCAAAUGAAGCAAGAGUCUCAUGACUCCUUGAGUGCACAGCCCUAACUUUAUCCCAAUAUGUAUUGAAAUAGGCUAUGACAUUGUCAGACAAAAAGUACCUGGUCCUGUAAUUGAAUCUGUAUCACAGUGUAGAGAAAUACUUGGUUAAGAUUGGAAAAGAAACUUUAAUGUCAGAAAUUCCUGUUAUUUUGGAGCUGGGCUCUUUCAACUUUAAUGUUCUCUUUACUUCUUACAGAAAGACAAAUAAAUAAAGAAAAUGAAAUUAUAUUAAAUAGUCUCCUCCUGACAGUCACAUGAGAUUCAGCUGGGAUGAAACCUUUGGACCCACAGCAUAUGCUGUGGGUCCAAAAUUAGCCUUUUGAGCUAAUUAAAUAAUUGACAGCUGUGGAAGACUGUCCAUUUAUAAAGGUCAUCUGCAAUCAGGCAGCAACACAGUUAAUAUCAGCAGCAAAAAAGUGAUUAGAGAUGAAACAGGAAAUGUCAUCAGAGCUUUGCAGUGGAGAUGUUUUCAAAUCAGCUGAGCCAUGUGAAUUCCAUCCAAGGCAAAUAUAAAACUGGCCAAAGCAAGCUUUAAUGAUUUACCUUGAAAAUCAUGUGUGAGAUUACAAAUAUAGUGUCUACUUUGAAAAGGGAUGAGAGAGGGUAAGGAUGUUAGGGAGUCAGAGAAUCUCUGUGUUCUAGAGAGUGGAAUGUAGUGUAGCAAAUAAUUAAGCCUUUAGUAGAUACUCAGAACACAAUAAGUAAAAGGAAAACCGGGGGGUGGUGUUUAAGGACAAAUGUUGUUAAAUCAUCUACCCACCUUCUUUAUUUUUGUUUUUUUCCUUUAUUAAAUUGCAGUCUCCUGAGCAGGCUGGGAAGUGUUGUGCAUUUUGGUGUGUGACAAAAUAGGUGUAAAAGUGGGUAGAGUGAUAUAUCUUAGGAUGUGCCUAGUGGUCAUUCCUAACAGUGGCCACCUUGUGCUGUGCAGUGUCCUUUCAUGACCUAAUAACAAAGCUGAAGAUAAAAUAGUUCUUAUGAAAUCCGGAAAUGUCACCAGAACAAGGGGGAUGGCAAGCACCAUGGCUGAGAAGAUUAGAGCUAAAAAAAAAAAAUUAUUGUUGCAAUUUCAUAAAGGGAUUGAAAGAGGAAAGAAACCAGGAUUCAACAGAUAUACAUGCUGUUCAGUUCAUUGGAAAUAAAAACCAGCAGGUGGUUAGAACUACAGGAUGGGCAGCAAUUCUGCAGGACAGUACAUGCAGGCUUCAGAAGAGUGUGAUUCUCAAGUGUGAUUCCACGGCAGUGCGGAAAAGGUAAAAAACCACAUGGGGGAAAAUGGGCUGUAAACACUGUUGGCCUGUGAUUUCAUGCUUUCCCUCUCUGUGGCACUUGAUAAGGCCUCUGCUGGUGUACAACAGGCAGUGGAAGGGGGGUUUUAUCUGCCUGAGAAACAUGUAAUCACUGCAUAAUCUGGAGAAGGGGAAGGGAUGGGAAAGAGGAAGCUGUAAAUUCAGCAGCUGGGGUGGGGAGCAGUGACAAGGAAAAGCGACAGUGACACCCCUGUGGGAGAGGAACUGCAAACAUGGAGCCUCUGUCUCUCAGCUUCACGCUGAAGGAUUUGAAGAGCUAUUUCUCCUCUGCAGUGCUAUGGGUUUAGGAGUUCUGGGUGUGUUUAUCAGCUCUGAUCCACCCAUUUGCCACUGUUCAGGAGCCCCUGAACUGGAAUGUGCCUGGCAAGACACAACCCCAGUCAAUACACUCUCCUUACCCGUUACCUCUCCUUCCUAUGUCUUUCUUUUGUGUUUUCAGGCAAGGUUGGAUGGUGUUGUAUAAUCUUUCCUAUUUUGCUAAUUUUCCUACUGCAAUAAUGUCUUUGUUUCCUAAGGGGCUCAUUUCUUUGCAUUGCAUGAACUAAACUGAAAAUGGACAAAACAGGUAGACCAACAGGACUGCUAAAUCCCUCAAAGGAUUUUUUAGAAGUUAUUUUUCAGUUUAUUAAAGGCACAGUUUUUUAAUGUGCCAAAGGUUGUUGAGUCACAAGCUCCGUGGACUUAGAGCUGAACCCCAAAGCCAAAGACCAGUUUUGCUUUAGAGAGUGAAUCUCUGAGAUCUUUUCCCUGAGGGUGUAUUCCAUAGAAGCAACUAAGCAAAUACUGUAAGUUAGGCUUAUAUCCCUUGGGAAGGGCCAUCAGAAAUCACUAAACAACCAUAAUAAAUACUAGCGUUAUUCUGCACCACAGUUUUGGCAUGUUCUUUCAAGCAGGUGUUUGGAAAGUCCUCUUGGGAGAAGAUAACUACAUGCCUCACAAAGCCCAAUGUAGGAGGAUGCUAACACAUGUGCUUCCAAGCUCUGCUUUGUUUUGGGUGCCAAUUUCCCAUCUACUUUGUCUUCCAGCCUGUUGCCAAGCUUGUACUGAUGGAAAUACAAAGCUGAUUGGUGUCACAGCAUGUUUGCCCUGCUUUUGUUUGUAUGUAGAAAAUUCAGUUCAUAAUACCUCAGUUUACAGUUAGUGCUCACUUUUAAGUAUCAUCCCAGGCAAAGAAUAGGUAGUGAUUGCAAAGUUAAUUCUAUUUUUCUGUAGAAAACUCUGCUUCGUGUAUCCAUUUCAAUAAAGCUAUUGGGCUAGA